rnacentral:rRNA from 1 species
UACGUAGGGACCAAGCGUUGUUCGGAUUUACUGGGCGUAAAGGGCGCGUAGGCGGCGCGGUAAGUCACUUGUGAAAUCUCUGAGCUUAACUCAGAACGGCCAAGUGAUACUGCAGUGCUAGAGUGUGGAAGGGGCAAUCGGAAUUCUUGGUGUAGCGGUGAAAUGCGUAGAUAUCGAGAGGAACACCUGCGGCGAAAGGCGGGUUGCUGGGCUGACACUGACGCUGAAGCGCGAAAGCUAGGGGAGCGAACGGG